rnacentral:lncRNA from 1 species
UGCUGUUCUGGGUUUUACCGGAGUACUUCUUAUGGACAGGCGAGGACCUGACGAAGACUCUGAUCUCCAGGAAGGUUUGAUCUCAUGUGAUCCUUGAACCCGAUGCUACUCGGCCUCCAGUUUCCACCUACCGACGGGGUGGAGCUGCAGGACGGGCGCUUGUGUCGGAGGAACUACCUGAGAGGUUUACACACUGGGCUACUUACCCUGAUUUACCCAUUUAUACUUCAGGGCAAUUACGUUUCUCAAGGAUACACCGGCGGGGGUUCGAACCGGAGACCUUGGAGCGCAAAGUGACGGCUAUAACAACUAUGUCGCCUGCAGUCAUAUUUGUAGAAUAGAUCACACACACACACACACACACACACACACGCUCACCAGUGUGUUUACGUGUGUGCAAGCGUGGGCUCGGCCAACACGCUCCCAUCACGUGUGAUUUGCGUGUUGUUGCGUCGCCUGGCUAUUUUUAGGGCUCCGUAUGAAACGUCAGUCCCGGGUAAAGGCCGCCAGACCAGAUUCUCUGGUUCCUGUGCCGUAAACGGCGGGGCUUCGCGUAAAGUGUGCCGCACGGGCCGGCUGGCGCAGCGGAGCUGGACAGAGAGGACGCGGACGGCACCAUGCUGGAGCUCCUGGGGAUCGUUAUUGGUCUCACGAUCGUCAUCAUGUUCUUUUCCCAAGAUUUAAAGAGGGCCAAGAAGGAACUGGCCUCGGGGGGGAAGCAGCAGCCGAGCCGAGAGCCAGCGCUGGCCCCCCCGAAAGAGCUGGACGCCUUUGGGAAGAAGGCCAAGAAGGAGCCGGCCUCAGGGGGGAAGCAGCGGCAGGGGGGGGCGCACCCCAGACACCUCUCCGCCUGGGGCAAGAAGCAACGUCUGCUCGAGAAGGACGUCACCGACAGCGACCUCCACGUCAUGGCCACGAUCUUGUCAGCUGGCUUGGUGGACGUGGACCCCUCCUGCCUGCAGCACCUCAAGGAGUUCCGUGACCUCUGGGGAUCCUCCACCUGAAGGCCGCCCAAAUACCUGCUGAUGCUAAAGACUUGCUAAUGCUAACAUGCUGCUGAUGCUGAAGGACCACCAAUGGAUCACUAAUGAACCAGUAGUGGACCACCAAUGCCAGUCAGCUGCCAGCGAGCUGCUAAUGGUUCACUAGCAUCACCUGGACAUCGCCAUGCGGAGCUAGAUGCUUUGGCCAAAGGAGACUCCCCUGUUGGCCACCUUUCAGGACCCCAACCCCCAACAUUAUUGUGUCAUUUGAGGUUCCGGGUGUGAAUGAAUUUGAUUGACCUCCAGUGACAUUUGCGUUCAUUCAUUUCUCUGCUGCCAUGUCUGCCUUUCCCCUUUGUAGUUGAACUUCCAUAAAGUCCCACUCCUGACCAUUAUGUGGGGGGCAUCUUUCUAUAGACUCCACCCCAAAGUGAACUAGCCAAUCAUAACCUUUGCACCGUUUUUGUUAUUGUACCCAAUAAAGUGACGGUACUUUGCUC